AUGCAAUUCACUUGUUUAGCAAAUUUGGAAGAAUAUUUCCCUGUGUAUGCAGCCAGUAUAAAUAGCAGAUAAAGACUUCAGGUACUCUUUUUUUACUGAAGAUUUAUUAAAUCUUCUUUAAUUGUCUUCUUCUGUUGGUUUUUUGCAAGUAGGGAAGUCAUGAAAUCGAGUUCAGUCACGGUAAACUUCUGUUAUGGAAGAACUCCUGCCGUUUGCAGGAGGCUGCUCUGCAAAGACCAUGUUGAUUACAAAAUAGAGCAAAGCAGAUGCAAUUUCCCUCUUCAAAAUGGCAGGGUAUUGUUAAGCAGUGUGACUGUGAAGCACAAACAGACUGUCUUGUGGGCGACUGCUGAUGGCUGUCACGCGGCGCUCAUGCUCUAACUGUGUCUGCUACACUAGUGUCGACUGACUCACAAAACAUUUCCACGUGUUUUACUUCAGGAAAAGUGCAAAGAUCUUGAUGAGAAAUGAUGAAAGUGCUAAUGCUUGUCAUUGAAGCAUCUGUCGUCUUGUGUGGACAAAAUGAGUAAUAUAAUGCUUAUUGUAAGCAUUAUAAGAUAAAUGCAUAAAAAUUCA